AAAUGAAUAGACGGGGGCCCGCACAAGCGGUGGAUUAUGUGGAUUAAUUCGAUGCAACGCGAAAAACCUUACCUGGCCUUGACAUGUACGGAACUUUCCAGAGAUGGAUUGGUGCCCGAAAGGGAGCCGUAACACAGGUGCUGCAUGGCUGUCGUCAGCUCGUGUCGUGAGAUGUUGGGUUAAGUCCCGCAACGAGCGCAACCCUUGCCAUUAAUUGCCAUCAUUCAGUUGGGCACUUUAAUGGGACUGCCGGUGACAAACCGGAGGAAGGUGGGGAUGACGUCAAGUCCUCAUGGCCCUUAUGGCCAGGGCUUCACACGUAAUACAAUGGUCGGUACAGAGGGCAGCCAACCCGCGAGGGGGAGCCAAUCCCAGAAAGCCGAUCGUAGUCCGGAUUGCAGUCUGCAACUCGACUGCAUGAAGUCGGAAUCGCUAGUAAUCGCGGAUCAGCAUGUCGCGGUGAAUACGUUCCCGGGCCUUGUACACACCGCCCGU
rnacentral:rRNA from 1 species